CGCUAUCACUCCUACGGGAGGCAGCAGUGGGGAAUAUUGCACAAUGGGGGAAACCCUGAUGCAGCCAUGCCGCGUGUGUGAAGAAGGCCUUCGGGUUGUAAAGCACUUUCAGUAGGGAGGAAGGUAGUGUAGUUAACACCUGCACUAUUUGACGUUACCUACAGAAGAAGCACCGGCUAACUCCGUGCCAGCAGCCGCGGUAAUACGGAGGGUGCGAGCGUUAAUCGGAAUUACUGGGCGUAAAGCGCAUGCAGGCGGCCUGUUAAGUCAGAUGUGAAAGCCCGGGGCUUAACCUCGGAAUUGCAUUUGAAACUGGCAGGCUAGAGUCUUGUAGAGGGGGUAGAAUUUCAGGUGUAGCGGUGAAAUGCGUAGAGAUCUGAAGGAAUACCAGUGGCGAAGGCGGCCCCCUGGACAAAGACUGACGCUCAGAUGCGAAAAGCGUGGGGAGCAAACAGGAUUAGAUACCCUGGUAG
rnacentral:rRNA from 1 species